CGACGGCGGUUGGGGGGGUCUCGGGUCUGGGGUUGAUGGCGCAGGGGGUCGGGGUCAAGCUGUACGGCGGCAGGGAGAAUAUUCAUAGUCUGGUAUACUUUGGAGCUUGAGUUAAAGAAAAUCUUUGUUCAACUUUAUCUGUGUUUUUUCUUGGUGGACAAGCUAAGCAUUUGACUCAACCCAAGGCUGAGAAGAAAGAAGACAGACUUCAAAGAAACUAUUUUGCAACAAUUUGCAAGAGGCUAAAACUCUACUUGGAUAUUUAAGAGAACCAAGACAAUUAUAUAAGAGAACCAAUGCAAGACAAAAUUCUUCUUCAAGUUGUUGGGUAUUAUUUUCUUUCUUGCUUGUAAGAAUUAUGUAUAGUGAGGAUUUGAUGUAUUAUUUACAUUGAGAAUAAUGAAUUUUUAUUGAGAAUUAUAAUGAAUUUUCAUUGAGACUUAUUUAGUCUCAUGGAGAUUUGAUGUAUUAUUUAUAUUUCAAUUGUAUGAAUAAAUGUUGUAUGUAUAUGAAUUUUUAUUAUGAUAAAUAUAAUUUUUUUUACAAA